GAUCAUGGCUCAGGACGAACGCUGGCGGCGUGCUUAACACAUGCAAGUCGAACGAAAAGACGGAAAGAGCUUGCUCUUUUUCAGAAUUGAGUGGCAAACGGGUGAGUAACACGUAAACAACCUGCCUUCAGGAUGGGGACAACAGACGGAAACGACUGCUAAUACCGAAUAAGUUCCAAGAGCCGCAUGUCCCAUGGAAGAAAAGGUGGCCUCUACCUGUAAGCUAUCGCCUGAAGAGGGGUUUGCGU
rnacentral:rRNA from 1 species